AAGACUACACUUUGAGGGAUCAUUUCUAUAGUUCCUUGCUAGAGAGCAGUUUCUCUAGUAGAGUACCCAGGACCACGAGGAGGAUGAGACACAGCGUCCCCACUCCCCGCCCCCACCCCCCAUCGUGAAGCUGGCUCUAGGCUCUGCUUUCUAUUGUGCUGCAGCCUCCUCUUCACUGAUGAUCAUUCUCUUCCUUUGGAAGAGUGAGGGAAAGGA